rnacentral:rRNA from 1 species
CAGCACCUCAAGUGGUCAGGAUGAUUAUUGGGCCUAAAGCAUCCGUAGCCGGCGCUGUAAGUUUUCGGUUAAAUCUGUACGCUCAACGUACAGGCUGCCGGGAAUACUGCAGCGCUAGGGAGUGGGAGAGGUAGACGGUACUCGGUAGGAAGGGGUAAAAUGCUUUGAUCUAUUGAUGACCACCUGUGGCGAAGGCGGUCUACCAGAACACGUCCGACGGUGAGGGAUGAAAGCUGGGGGAGCAAACCGGAUUAGAUACCCGAGUAGUCC